UACGGAGGGAGCUAGCGUUGUUCGGAAUUACUGGGCGUAAAGCGCGCGUAGGCGGCUUUGUAAGUUAGAGGUGAAAGCCCGGGGCUCAACCCCGGAAUUGCCUUUAAGACUGCAUCGCUUGAAUCCGGGAGAGGUGAGUGGAAUUCCGAGUGUAGAGGUGAAAUUCGUAGAUAUUCGGAAGAACACCAGUGGCGAAGGCGGCUCACUGGACCGUUGUUGACGCUGAGGUGCGAAAGCGUGGGGAGCAAACAGG
rnacentral:rRNA from 1 species